ACGGAAGGCAGCAGUGAGGAAUAUUGGUCAAUGGACGGAAGUCUGAACCAGCCAUGCUGCGUGAAGGAAUAAGGCCCUAUGGGUCGUAAACUUCUUUUGUGGUGGAGCAAUAAGGUGCACGUGUGCAUCGAUGAGAGUACAUCACGAAUAAGCAUCGGCUAACUCCGUGCCAGCAGCCGCGGUAAUACGGAGGAUGCGAGCGUUAUCCGGAUUUAUUGGGUUUAAAGGGUGCGUAGGCUGUUCUUCAAGUCAGAGGUGAAAUACCGGGGCGCAACCCUGGAACUGCCUUUGAUACUGGAGGGCUUGAAUACUGUUGCCGUGGGAGGAAUGAGUAGUGUAGCGGUGAAAUGCAUAGAUAUUACUCAGAACACCGAUUGCGAAGGCAUCUCACGAAGCAGCGAUUGACGCUGAGGCACGAAGGCGUGGGGAUCAAACAGGAUUAGAUACCCUGGUA
rnacentral:rRNA from 1 species